UACUUAUCCAGAAAGACCGAGGGAUUGGGCCCGAUGACGUCUUAGCAACCUGAAAUAAAAUAAGGUGCUAACUCCCGUUUCGGGCCGUUUUGCGGGCUGGAAGAAGAUAAGUU
rnacentral:ncRNA from 2 species